rnacentral:lncRNA from 10 species
ACUUGACUGGGGGACUCAUUGCUUAUUAAAACCCUUAACAGGUGAUGCUGUAUUCCUGAGUUAAGCUGGCCAUCAGUUUACACUCUUUGGUAUGUUAUUGAAAAUGUAGUUAUGGCACAGAGAAGAUGCUAUGGUUUGCUUCAUGAAAUUCUGAUAUUACUAAUAACGUUCUUACUCUGUUGAAAUGGAAGAAUUUUCUGGAAGUACAGAAGCAAUAAUAUAAAUGUUUAGUUUCUU